UCCGUGUUCACCACGGCAGUCUCUCUAGAGUGCCCAACUGAAUGCUGGCAACUAAAGACAAGGGUUGCGCUCGUUGCGGGACUUAACCCAACAUGUCACCACACGAGCUGACGACAGCCAUGCAGCACCUGUCUCUCUGCUGUAUUGCUACAGAAACCGUAUCUCUACGGCGGUCAGAGGAUGUCAAACCUAGGUAAGGUUCUUCGCGUUGCUUCGAAUUAAACCACAUGAUCCACCGCUUGUGCGGGCCCCCGUCAAUUCCUUUGAGUUUUAGUCUUGCGACCGUACUUCCCAGGCGGGGUACUUAUUGCGUUAGCUCCGACUCGACAAGGGUUAAAUCUCGUCUAGUCUAGUACCCAUCGUUUACAGCGUGGACUAC
rnacentral:misc_RNA from 1 species